rnacentral:misc_RNA from 1 species
GAUGAAGAACGUAGCGAAAUGCGAUAAGUAAUGUGAAUUGCAGAAUUCAGUGAAUCAUCGAAUCUUUGAACGCACAUUGCGCCCGCCAGUAUUCUGGCGGGCAUGCCUGUCCGAGCGUCAUUUCAACCCUCGAACCCCUCCGGGGGUCGGCGUUGGGGAUCGGCCCUUUCACCGGGUGCCGUCCCCCAAAUACAGUGGCGGUCUCGCCGCAGCCUCUCAUGCGCAGUAGUUUGCACACUCGCACCGGGAGCGCGGCGCGUCCACGUCCGUAAAACACCCCAAACUUCUGAAAUGUUGACCUCGGAUCAGGUAGGAAUACCCGCUGAACUUAAGCAUAUCAAUAAGCGGAGGA